GACGAACGCUGGCGGCGUGCUUAACACAUGCAAGUCGAACGGAGUUACGUAUGAAGUAUUUCGGUACGGACUAUGUAACUUAGUGGCGAACGGGUGAGUAACACGUGGGCAACCUGCCCUUAACCGGGGGAUAACAUUGUGAAAACAGUGCUAAUACCGCAUAACAGAGUAUCGGGCAUCCGAUAUUUUUAAAAGGAGCAAUCCGGUUUAGGAUGGGCCCGCGUCCAAUUAGCUAGUUGGUGAGGUAACGGCUCACCAAGGCUACGAUUGGUAGCCGAACUGAGAGGUUGAUCGGCCACAUUGGGACUGAGACACGGCCCAGACUCCUACGGGAGGCAGCAGUGGGGAAUAUUGGGCAAUGGGCGAAAGCCUGACCCAGCGACGCCGCGUGAAGGAUGAAGGUCUUCGGAUUGUAAACUUCUUUGAUCAGGGAAGAAAGAAAUGACGGUACCUGAAGAACAAGCCACGGCUAACUACGUGCCAGCAGCCGGGUAAACACGAGAGUA
rnacentral:rRNA from 1 species